rnacentral:lncRNA from 1 species
GAUAAACGGCCUGGAUGGGACGGCAGGACAAGUUCCAACACUGCUUCCCAGCGCCUGCUGCCAACUCCGGAGCGUGAGAAAAUACCAGGCAAGGAGGGAAGGAUCAGCAUCGCACGGAUGUUUAGAGGCAGCGAUCCGGUACCAAACCCCGGCAGGACUCUCCCGGCCACAGGCCAACCCGGAGCAUCGAGGUCCGAUCACGGAAACGCAGCCAAGCGCCUCCAGCCCCGCUGCUGGCCCAACCUGCCGGUGCCUCGCCUGCAUCCCUGGCCAGCACGCGGCUCCCUUGCCAUCCCCGCCACUGCGAUCCUGCCCGGUGCGCAGCUCCCUUGCCAUCCCCACCACUGCGAUCCCGCCCAGCACGUGGCUCCCUCGCUGCAGCAUUCCCGCUCCCCGGGAAGGGCAGAGGCAAAGACAAGAACAGGCAGCACGACUGUUCGACGGCUCCUCGCCAACACCGGAUGCGGUUCGGCUUUCGGGCAGGAGAUCAGCCGGUGGCUUUUUCCAUCCGGAGCAGCUCCUCCAUGCCGGCCCGGCUUUGCACCAUGCUCUCGCUCUGCCCUGUGCCAGGGCACUGGGCGACAGGAAGCUCGGGAGCGAGUGGAAAGAGGCCAGGAAAUCGGAGGAGGAAGCUGGAAGGAGGCUGUUCCCGCGGUGGCCUGAACCAAACGCCAGCCGAAACACGACGGCGGGGAGCUCUGAAACGCCGGGUCAAACGGCGGCAGGUCAGGGCACCGGUGGGAAAAAAAAAGUCUAAAAAGUGCUAAGCAGGAGACUGGAAAAACAAAACGUUUGGGGUCCGUUUUGCUGCACCCCCCAGGCGCAGAGCAGCCAGAGGAGGAACGGCGAACGCCUCUCCCGGGCGAACCGCAAGCAAAGCGCCCAGCGAGGGCUGGAGACAUCCCUAAGGGAAAGAAGGGAAGAGGAAAACCAACUUUGCCCUGGAGCUCAUGAGAUCCGCCUGGCCGCAGGCAGUCGGAAGAGGCGGAUUUUCGUGCCACGGGGCUACAGCAGUGAGACCAGCGUGGCAGAAAUGUCCUCGCGUAGUGUCUCAAUGCUCGCAAAGGCGCCCGCCGAGGCUGGGUGGUUCCCGCGGGGCUGCAAACGCGCUUCCUCCGUGCAGGCUAAAAAUAGCCGGCAGCGCACGAAGAAACGAGGCGCUGGGUGCACCUCCGCAGGAACCGGGCACGGCGGGAGGAAGAUCUCGACACGGCUUCUGGGUAGAUGUUGCAAGAACGACUUAUUUCCAUGCAACGUGUGCUCCCGUUUCGGGGCUCCUUUUGUUUUCGCAGGAGAUUUGCGCUUGAAAAGCCGGUGUCAAAUUUGCUUGCACAAACAUAUAUGCAGCCAGUCUAGAGACAGAAAUGAUGCCCGCUGGUUUUCAGAGCAACCCCAGCUUCCCAUUGCGCACCUAGCAGGCAGAUCCACAGAGCAGUGACUGGCUGGUCUCUCACACUGGCCUGGAGCGCUCGGUGAAAGCCGUAUGGCAAAUCCACCAUUAUCCCAUGCACUGAACCCGCGCCCCAUCGUGGAGCAAAUACCUCUGUCCCGCCUUGUGAUUAAUGAUCCUCUGCUGAGUUUUCCCAGAAAGAGAAAAGCGUCUUUCCAAUGCAAGGAGCUCGUUUCUAACGACAGGGCGCUAACAGCUCCCGCCGCGCAUUGC